rnacentral:rRNA from 1 species
UACAGAGACUGCAAGCGUUAUUCGGAUUCACUGGGCGUAAAGGGUGCGCAGGCGGUUGGGUGUGUCAGAUGUGAAAUCCCGAGGCUUAACCUCGGAACUGCGUCUGAAACUACUCGACUAGAGUACUGGAAGGAAGGGAAAGUAAUGAUGGUAGCAGUGAAAUGCGUAGAUAUCGUGAGGAACACCAGAGGCGAAGGCGGUUUCCUGGACAGUUACUGACGCUCAGGCACAAAAGCAUGGGGGAGCAAAAGGG